UAAGACGAACCUUGCUAACGUUAUUCGGAAUUACUGGGCUUAAAGGGUGCGUAGGCGGUGCAGUAAGUCGGGUGUGAAAUCCCUCAGCUCAACUGAGGAAUUGCGCCCGAAACUACUGUGCUUGAGGAAGAUAGAGGUACGCGGAACUUAGGGUGGAGCGGUGAAAUGCGUUGAUAUCCUAAGGAACACCGGUGGCGAAAGCGGCGUACUGGGUCUUAUCUGACGCUGAGGCACGAAAGCUAGGGUAGCGAACGGGAUUAGAUACCCCGGUAGUCCUAGCCGUAAACUAUGAGCACUUGAUUGGAGGGUCCUCCAUAGCCCUCCAGUCGUAGCGAAAGUGUUAAGUGCUCCGCCUGGGGAGUAUGGUCGCAAGGCUG
rnacentral:rRNA from 1 species